rnacentral:rRNA from 1 species
GAUGAACGCUGGCGGCGUGCCUAAUACAUGCAAGUCGAGCGAACAGAUGAGGAUCUUGCUCCUCUGACGUUAGCGGCGGACGGGUGAGUAACACGUGGAUAACCUACCUAUAAGACUGGGAUAACUUCGGGAAACCGGAGCUAAUACCGGAUAAUAUAUUGAACCGCAUGGUUCAAUAGUGAAAGACGGUUUUGCUGUCACUUAUAGAUGGAUCCGCGCCGCAUUAGCUAGUUGGUAAGGUAACGGCUUACCAAGGCAACGAUGCGUAGCCGACCUGAGAGGGUGAUCGGCCACACUGGAACUGAGACAUGGUCCAGACUCCUACGGGAGGCAGCAGUAGGGAAUCUUCCGCAAUGGGCGAAAGCUUGACGGAGCAACGCCGCGUGAGUGAUGAAGGUCUUCGGAUCGUAAAACUCUGUUAUUAGGGAAGAACAAAUGUGUAAGUAACUAUGCACGUCUUGACGGUACCUAAUCAGAAAGCCACGGCUAACUACGUG